CCCUUAGAUGUUCUGGGCCGCACGCGCGCUACACUGAUGCGUUCAACGAGUCUAAAACCUGCUCUGAUAGGGGUGGGUAAUCUUUUGAAUGUGCAUCGUGAUUGGGAUAGAUGAUUGCAAUUUUUCAUCUUCAACGAGGAAUGCCUAGUAAACGCAAGUCAUCAGCUUGCAUUGAUUACGUCCCUGCCCUUUGUACACACCGCCCGUCGCUCCUACCGAUUGAAUGAUCCGAUGAAUAUCAUGGAUUGAGGAUGCAAGUAGGUUCACCUAUCUUCAUCUUCGAGAAGUGAAGUAAAUCUUAUCAUUUAGAGGAAGGAGAAGUCGUAACA
rnacentral:rRNA from 1 species